rnacentral:piRNA from 1 species
UAUUUAUUAUGUUGGCCAAUU